rnacentral:rRNA from 1 species
AGGCUUUGCUUGGUGGUGAGAGUGGCGAACGGGUGAGUAAUGCGUGACCGACCUGCCCCAUACACCGGAAUAGCUCCUGGAAACGGGUGGUAAUGCCGGAUGCUCCAACUUUCCGCAUGGUUUGUUGGGAAAGCUUUCGCGGUAUGGGAUGGGGUCGCGUCCUAUCAGCUUGACGGCGGGGUAACGGCCCACCGUGGCUUCGACGGGUAGCCGGCCUGAGAGGGCGACCGGCCACAUUGGGACUGAGAUACGGCCCAGACUCCUACGGGAGGCAGCAGUGGGGAAUAUUGCACAAUGGGCGCAAGCCUGAUGCAGCGACGCCGCGUGAGGGAUGGAGGCCUUCGGGUUGUAAACCUCUUUUAUCGGGGAGCAAGCGAGAGUGAGUUUACCCGUUGAAUAAGCACCGGCUAACUACGUGCCAGCAGCCGCGGUAAUACGUAGGGUGCAAGCGUUAUCCGGAAUUAUUGGGCGUAAAGGGCUCGUACGCGGUUCGUCGCGUCCGGUGUGAAAGUCCAUCGCUUAACGUGGACCGCGCCGGGUACGGGCGGGCUUGAGUGUGGUAGGGGAGACUGGAAUUCCCGGUGUAACGGUGGAAUGUGCAGAUAUC